CCCACUGCACACAGCAUGGCUGUGAGGGACACAGAAGACUGUAAUAUGAAGAAGGUACACAACAGAGCAGCAGAACGCAGCAGAACAUCAGUUACAGAAGAAGGAAGCUCGUAACCCAAAUCCAAGACAAGCCAGAAAGGAGCACAGGGGAGGAAGAAAUUGAUUCCAGCUAGGGAUGUGGAGAAGACAGCAUGGCUAGAGGACUGCCUCUCUGAUCUGAAACCUUAGGAGAGACUGAGAUGGAGAGGGGAGGGAGUGACAGCUCCCUGACAGCAGCUUAAGCAUAACCCAGCAGCAGAGAACACAGAGCCUCGGGGACAAUGAUGACAGGCGGGGAUGGAAGUGCUCAGACCAGAGGAUCCGAGGUACUGCAGACUUCUCCAGAAGGGCCAUCAGAAGUCUGAGAAGGUAGAGACCACACUGGAAACUGGGAACACUAUGGUGGAAGUUCUGCAAGUAACUGAAGCUCUGGCUGUAAAGAAGCAAGAAACAAAAGAACCCGCAUAGCAUCACAUGCAUUAAAGAUGUUUUCACAUGCA